rnacentral:rRNA from 1 species
AUUGAACGCUGGCGGCAGGCCUAACACAUGCAAGUCGAGCGAGCGGCGGACGGGUGAGUAUUGUCUGUGAAACUGCCUGAUGGAGGGGGAUAACUACUCGAAACGGUAUCUCAUACCGCAUACCAUCAGAUGUGCCCAUAUGGGAUUAGCGAGUAGGUGGGGUAACGGCUCACCUAGGCGACGAUCCCUAGCUGGUCUGAGAGGAUGACCAGCCACACUGGAACUGAGACACGGUCCAGACUCCUACGGGAGGCAGCAGUGGGGAAUAUUGCACAAUGGGCGCAAGCCUGAUGCAGCCAUGCCGCGUGUAUGAAGAAGGCCUUCGGGUUGUAAAGCACUUUCAGCGGGGAGGCGUUACCCGCAGAAGAAGCACCGGCUAACUCCGUGCCAGCAGCCGCGGUAAUUC